rnacentral:rRNA from 1 species
UUUAAAGUCUAAUCUGCCCCCUGAAAUUAUUUUAAAGGGCUGCGGUAUUUUAACCGUACAAAGGUAGCAUAAUAAUUAGGUUUUUGAUUGAAAUCUAGAAUGAAUGAUUGGACGAGAUACAAGCUGUUUUAUAAUAAUUAAUUAAAACUUAAUUUUUUAGUCAAAAAGCUAAAAUUUUAUUAAAAGACGAGAAGACCCUAUAAAUCUUUAUAAUAAAUUUAUUUUAAUAAAUUAUUUUAUUUAAAUUAAUAGUUUUAAUAUUAAAUUAUUUUAUUGGGGUGAUACAAAAAUUUAAUUAACUUUUUUAUUAGUAUUUCUUAAAUUAAAGAUUUAUAAAAAUAUGAUCUAUUAUUAAUAAUUCAGAGAAUAAGAUACUUUAGGGAUAACAGCGUAAUUUUAAUUUUAAGUUCUUAUUAAAAUUAAAGAUUGCGACCUCGAUGUUGGAUUAAAAUUUAAUUUAAAUGCAAAGGUUUAAAAAUUAAGUCUGUUCGACUUUU